UUGCUUCAGCAGCAUAUAUAUUAAAAAUUGGAAUGAUACAGAGUGGAUAGCAUGGCCCCUGCAUAAGAAUGACA
rnacentral:snRNA from 1 species